GCCCUAUCAACUUUCGAUGGUAAGGUAUUGGCUUACCAUGGUUUCAACGGGUAACGGGGAAUUAGGGUUCGAUUCCGGAGAGGGAGCCUGAGAAACGGCUACCACAUCCAAGGAAGGCAGCAGGCGCGCAAAUUACCCAAUCCCGACACGGGGAGGUAGUGACAAUAAAUACUGAUACAGGGCUCUUUUGGGUCUUGUAAUUGGAAUGAGUACAAUUUAAACCUCUUAACGAGGAACAAUUGGAGGGCAAGUCUGGUGCCAGCAGCCGCGGUAAUUCCAGCUCCAAUAGCGUAUAUUAAAGUUGUUGCAGUUAAAAAGCUCGUAGUUGAAACUUGGGCCUGGCUGGCAGGUCCGCCUCACCGCGUGUACUUGUCCGGCCGGGCCUUUCCUUCUGGAGAACCUCAUGCCCUUCACUGGGUGUGUUGGGGAACCAGGACUUUUACUUUGAAAAAAUUAGAGUGUUCAAAGCAGGCCUUUGCUCGAAUACGUUAGCAUGGAAUAAUAGAAUAGGACGUGCGGUCCUAUUUUGUUGGUUUCUAGGACCGCCGUAAUGAUUAAUAGGGACAGUCGGGGGCAUCAGUAUUCAAUUGUCAGAGGUGAAAUUCUUGGAUUUAUUGAAGACUAACUACUGCGAAAGCAUUUGCCAAGGAUGUUUUCAUUAAUCAGUGAACGAAAGUUAGGGGAUCGAAGACGAUCAGAUACCGUCGUAGUCUUAACCGUAAACUAUGCCGACUAGGGAUCGGGCGAUGUUCUUUUUCUGACUCGCUCGGCACCUUACGA
rnacentral:rRNA from 1 species